CUCCUGAAGACACAAGCCCUGCUGGACGGCCUGAGGAGAGCAAGCUCAGAUGGCAUCUUACCUGAUUAUCUUGAUGGCACUUCUGUGUUUUGACCAAGGAAGUGCUCUGCGAUGCUAUACGUGUGUGGGGGACAGGUGCCACGGAAAGGGCCAAAGAUCCACCAACUGUUCAUCCUCCGAUGCCUACUGUGAGACCAUCGUGAUAGCUGCUCAGUUUGAUGCCCACAAGUUUGAAAACGUCAUCCAGAAAUGUUCCUCCACCUGUAAGCCCUCCAACACUACGAUUGGCGUGUUGCAUGUGACAUCGCAGUGUUGUAACAAGACCCUGUGCAACAUCAAUGGAGUGUCCAUUGUGACUGCCAGCCACUGGGCGGUAGCCUUGGCUGUGUUGACCUGCUUUUCCUUCCCUGUCUUCGGGAGUAGGCUCUGAUGUUUUAGCCAAUCAAUGGAUUCAUCAAUCUGGGAGCAUUUAUUGAGCACCAACUGUAUGCCAGUCAAAAUCAAAGUGGAUCUGCUCUUGUGGAGCUUACAUUCAAAUGAGGGUGACAAUAUAAACAUACAUAGAUCAAUACAAAACAUAUAUAGAAAACUGUUUAUUCUUAAAGAACUCAAACCUGUUCCCUGGGGAGUCCCAGGUUAUAUUUACUCAGUACCAUGGAUAUGGGGACUAGGAAACAUCUGGGUUUGGGGCAUCUUGAAGAUAAAACAUCUGGGUGACUAGAAUCUUGUUCUGGAAUUAUGAGCUGCAUUUCCAAACCCUCUCUCAGGGAACUACCCAAUGAGUUAGAGAUACAUUCUACCCUCCCAAUUAGACUCCAAUCAACUUAACUCAAUAGCCAUCUAUUAAGCACCAUCUGUGUCUAGAGUUCUGUGUUCACUAUUGGGGGAGGCAUAAAGCUUAGGUUCCUGCCAGGUGUGAAACUAUCUGGGCACAAGUAGAGCUUUGACCCUGUGUGCUGAAAUCUGGAAGACUAUGUUUCAUCCUUGUGCU
rnacentral:lncRNA from 1 species